rnacentral:rRNA from 1 species
AGAGUUUGAUCAUGGCUCAGGAUGAACGCUAGCUACAGGCUUAACACAUGCAAGUCGAGGGGCAGCGAUGGUCUUAGCUUGCUAAGGCCGAUGGCGACCGGCGCACGGGUGAGUAACACGUAUCCAACCUGCCGUCUACUCUUGGGACAGCCUUACUGAAAGGAAGACUUAAUACAAGAUGGCAUCAUGAGUUCACAUGUUCACAUGUAUUAAAGGUUUUCCGGUAGACGAUGGGGAUGCGUUCCAUUAGAUAGUAGGCGGGGUAACGGCCCACCUAGUCUUCGAUGGAUAGGGGUUCUGAGAGGAAGGUCCCCCACAUUGGAACUGAGACACGGUCCAAACUCCUACGGGAGGCAGCA